UAUUGUUACUUAACCUUUGAA
ensembl:piRNA 21ur-670 ncRNA